AGCUUUGUGCAGUGGUAGCAUAGUCUGUGAAGUUCAAUGGAGAUAUAAUUAUUGCUAAUUGAAAACUUUCAUCAGUGUUCUGCCUUGACAGCUUGAAAUAUAGCUGUUGUUGGCAAUUUUUAGUAGUUUCUGUGGAUG
rnacentral:snRNA from 1 species